ensembl:misc_RNA Metazoa_SRP Metazoan signal recognition particle RNA
GCUUGUAGUCCCAGCUACUUAGGAGGCCGAGGUGGGUGGGUUGAUUGAACUCAGGAGUUCUGGAUUGUAGUGCACUGUGCAGAUUGGAUGUCUACAUUAAGUUCAGCAUCAAUAUGGUGACCUUCUGGGAGCAGGGGACUACCAGGUUACCUAAGGAGAGAUGAAUCAGCCCAGGUCAGAAAUGGAGUAGAUAAAUACUCCUGGGCUGAUUAGUAGUGGGAUAGCGCCUGUGUUUAGCCACGGCACCCCAGCCUGGGAAAUGUAGCAAGGCCCUGUCUCUU